GGGCCCGAAGGCGAAGGCCCGAGGCUGACGCGGAGGGUCCUGGCAGAGCUGUGGUCGCCAGGAGCGGGACGCGGAGUAGCUGCCCGCGCGCCCGGCUCUGGAGACGGAGGGGCUGCGGUUCCUGCACGUCCCUGUGGGCUCCCCGCUGGCCACCUGCAACCGGUUCAUGGUCUUCAGCUGCAUCCUGUCGUGCCUGAUUUUUCAGCAGCUUUCCACACGCCCGCGAGCCUUGAGGCAGAGGCAGCUGGACCGCGCCGGCUGCUGUGGGUUAGUGACUGCAAAUCCGGGCUGCUGUUCGGGAACCUGACGAUGCUGUGAAACAAGAGGCCUUAGCAGCUGCUCGCCUGAAAACGCAGGAAGAGCUCAACGCACAGGUUUUCGGUUUCUGCCUUUCAGGAGAUGAGAGCAGGUCUUCUCUCCACACCUCUGAGCUCACCGGACCAGCCGAGUCAGGUGUGCCCCCAAAGACUUAUGCGGGCGCAGAAAACCAGCCAAUGAACCACCAGCCUGGACAGGUGGCCAGACGUGCGCAGACCAUGUCCUUGUGGGCAGUUUUCAGAAGCCAGGGGUGCCCGGUGAUUUGCACUUGGCCGGGCACCUACAUGUCACCCCAUCCAGCCUUGCCAACCUGGAAUUCCUGUAUGCUUUCCUUCACCUUUCCUCGCUCCACCCUAGCUGGCUCAGUUCCAAGACUGUCCAGUUAUGACCCCCAAAUUGAAAGUAAUGAAUGUGUCUAGUUUCUCCUUUUCAAA